rnacentral:ncRNA from 2 species
CACUGAUAAAGGCAAAUUUAGUGAAAACUAAAGACGCAAAACUAAAGGACCUUCCUUAGAAAUAAGAUGGUAGCCAGUUAUCGAA